UUUACUGAGAGUUUGAUCCUAGCUCAGGGUGAACGCUGGCGGUAUGGAUAAGGCAUGCAAGUCGAGUGGGUUUAGACCCACGGCAGACGAGGUAGUAACACGUAGGAACGUACCCGGAAGUCGGGCAUAACCAGCCGAAAGGUUGGACAAUUCCCGAUGGUCUCGCAAGAGUAAAGAUUUUUCGCUUCCGGAGCGGCCUGCGUUGUAUCACGCUAGUUGGUGAGGUAAUGGCUCACCAAGGCUAUGACGCAUAGGGGAGCUGAGAGGCUGACCCCCACCGAUGAAACUGAGACACGGUUCAUACCCCUACGGGGGGCUGCAGCCGAGAAUAUUCGACAAUGGGCGCAAGCCUGAUCGAGCGAUACCGCGUGGUGGAUGAAGCGCUUCGGCGCGUAAACAUCUUUUAUGGAGGAGGAAGUUAUUGACGUUACUCCAUGAAUAAGGGGCUCCUAACUCUGUGCCAGCAGGAGCGGUAAUACAGAGGCCCCAAGCGUUACCCGGAAUUACUGGGCGUAAAGAGUGCGUAGGUGGUCGUAUUAGUCGCGCGUUAAAACCCGGAGCUCAACUCCGGAGGUGCGCGCGAAACGGUACGACUCGAGAGCGUGAGAGGUCUGUGGAACUCUGGGUGUAGGGGUGAAAUCCGUUGAUAUCCAGGGGAACACCGAAAGCGAAGGCAGCAGACUGGCGCGUUUCUGACACUCAAGCACGAAAGCGUGGGUAGCGAACGGGAUUAGAUACCCCGGUAGUCCACGCCCUAAACUAUCUCAACUGGCUUUCCGGAGUAUCGACCCUCUGGGAGGCGAAGCUAACGCGUUAAGUUGAGCGCCUGGGUAGUACGGCCGCAAGGCUAAAACUCAAAGGAAUAGACGGGGGCUUGCACAAGCGGUGGAGCGUGUGGCUCAAUUCGUCGCUAAACGAAGAACCUUACCAGGGCUAGAAAUCCUACUGCACGCCUAGCGAAAGCUAGGAAGCCUUCGAGGGUGUAGGACAGGUGAUGCAUGGCUGUCGUCAGUUCGUGGUUUGAAUCGUUCCCUUCAGUGGGGUAACGAACGCAACCCUCGUUGCCAGUUAUAAGUGUCUGGCGAGACUGCCCCCUCACGGGGGAGGAAGGUGAGGAUGACGCCAAGUCAGCAUGUCCCUCUGAUGUCCUGGGCUGCACACGCGCUACAAUCGCCGUUACAAAAGGACGCAAUGCCGCGAGGCGGAGCAAAUCCCAAAAAGCGGCGCCAGUUCGGAUUGGAGUCUGAAACCCGACUCCAUGAAGCCGGAAUCGCUAGUAAUCGUGGGUCAGCUAUACCACGGUGAAUACGUUCUCAAGCCUUGUACUCACCGCCCGUCAACUCAGGGGAGUUGGGAGUGCCCGAAGCGCCUUCUCGUAAGGCACCAAGGCAAACUCAAUGACAAAGAGUAAGUCGUAACAAGGCACGGGUAGCGGAAGCUGCUCGUGGAUUCAUUCAAAA
rnacentral:rRNA from 1 species